rnacentral:rRNA from 1 species
UACGAAGGGGGCUAGCGUUGCUCGGAAUCACUGGGCGUAAAGCGCGUGUAGGCGGGAGCGAAAGUCCGGUGUGAAAGCCCCCAGCUCAACUGGGGAAGGUCGCUGGAAACUGCGCUUCUUGAGGGCGGCAGAGGGAAGUGGAAUUGGCUGGUGUAGUGGUGAAAUGCGUAGAGAUCGGCAGGAACACCCAGGGGGAAACCAGCCGACUGGGCAUUGACUGACGCUGAGGUGCGAGAGCGUGGGGAGC